GGAUGCGAUCAUACCAGCACUGAAGCACCAGAUCCAAUCAGAACUCUGAAGUUAAGCGUGCUUGGGCGAGAGUAGUACUAGGAUGGUGACCUCCUGGGAAGUCCUCGUGUUGCAUUCCC
rnacentral:rRNA from 1 species